UGGCUCUGGAGAAGUCCCCCCAGCGGGGAUGCCGAAGGUGCAACGCGCUCGCAGGAGCACGAAUCUCUCAGGCAAAAGGACAGAGUGG
rnacentral:ncRNA from 1 species